rnacentral:rRNA from 1 species
UGCAAGUCGAGCGGAUUGAUGGGAGCUUGCUCCCUGAUAUCAGCGGCGGACGGGUGAGUAACACGUGGGUAACCUGCCUGUAAGACUGGGAUAACUCCGGGAAACCGGGGCUAAUACCGGAUAACUCAUUUCCUCGCAUGAGGAAAUGUUGAAAGGUGGCUUCUGCUACCACUUACAGAUGGACCCGCGGCGCAUUAACUAGUUGGUGAGGUAACGGCUCACCAAGGCAACGAUGCGUAGCCGACCUGAGAGGGUGAUCGGCCACACUGGGACUGAAACACGGCCCAAACUCCUACGGGAGGCAGCAGUAGGGAAUCUUCCGCAAUGGACGAAAGUCUGACGGAACAACGCCCCGUGAGUGAUGAAGGUUUUCGGAUCGUAAAGCUCUGUUGUUAGGGAAGAACAAGUGCCGUUCGAAUAGGGCGGCACCUUGACGGUACCUAACCAGAAAGCCACGGCUAACUACCUGCCAGCAGCCGCGGUAAUACCUAGGUGGCAAGCGUUGUCCGGAAUUAUUGGGCGUAAAGCGCGCGCAGGUGGUUCCUUAAGUCUGAUGUGAAAGCCCACGGCUCAACCGUGGAGGGUCAUUGGAAACUGGGGAACUUGAGUGCAGAAGAAGAAAGUGGAAU